AGUGCAGAGCUGUCUUGUCCUACAGGGAUGUGGUACGGAGCCACUUGUCGAAGGUUUGAGCCUGCUGCGUCAGCAAGGACCAUCUCAAAGAUGUUUUGGGGGAAUCUUUCCUCUUUGUAUGCUCUAAUCAUUAGUCAUCUUCAGACGGUCACUGUUCAGAAGAGCUUUCUGUUUCCCUUGUGGAGUAUUUCAUUUUUUCUACUCAUUCUUAACCAAGGUAGAACCUGAAGAAUGAGGAAAAUAACUGAAUCUUUCAAAGAAGAGGAAACUUUGACAAAGCAUGAGAAGUUGUAUUGGCAGCAAGGUAUCUUCAAUGUGAAGUCAGCACUCCAGCAGGUCCUUGUUUCUGUGGGCACUGUGCAAAUGCUUGGGAUGUCAUCCAAGUUCCAAAUCCAAGAUAGAUGGAAUGUUUUCAGUUAAGUGUCUGUAGAGCUGCCCCCGUGAGGGAGGACUUGCAAGCAAAGCACACAGAAGCUGUGAAAGACACGAGGAGUUCAAGGACUCACCCAGAGUUGGGCACUGGCAGAGAGGAGCUUGGUGCCCCGGCCCCUGCUUGCUGUGGAGGAAGGAGACCCCUCACCCAUGGGAAGACAGAACAGUUAAAAUGUUUCCGGCCGUGGUUGCCUUCGUGGGAUCGGAGCGGCAGCCUUAAGCCUGAGGUUCACCUGGGACUCUGCCAGAGGGGGAGAGGCCACAGUGCUUUAAUGCUGAAUUCACCAGCCCUACUGGCCUGUGACCCAGAAUGCUGCUACACGUCUCCAUCUUGCACUCUCUGGCCACCCAACAGCUGAGCCACUCCUUGGCUGCCACUCUGAUACUCAAUGCCACCUUCCUCUGCUGAAGCAUAGGGCCAGCCUGGCGUCUUGCUGUCUGUGCUGUAACUGCUGUCUGAACGAAGGAGAAGGAAUUCUGAGUGAAUGGGGACACAGAAGCCCUGCCGCUUGCUGUUCUCUGCCAGUGCAGCUCUAAGUCAUCAGCUGUAUACCCUCUGAUUCUGCAAGCCACAUUCUGUCUCACAGUAGUUGAGAGCUUGAUAGGAAAGCAAGACCCAAGCCCCCAUUUGGACGUUCUGGAAUGAUCUCUGAUUUAUACCUGAGCAGUGCUGAAUGUUGUGGUACUGAAAAAGGAACCAUUUGCGUGUCAGCAUUAAAACCAAUCUGACGGACUGCGGAAGCAGAGUGGUAAUGUGUACAAAGGGCUGCUGUUGGAAAGAAACCUUUUCUCCUAAAUGCCAUGUUUAUUUCUUCUGGUGCUGCAGCUGGGGCUUAAGCUACAGAAUAGCACACGUGUUUGAUGCUGAAGGAAACAGUUCUGCGUUUUCCCUGUCUUCUCUCAAUGCUGCUGCCCUGUAAUAGUUUCUUAUUAUUCACCCUAACGUUCACGAGAAGUGCUGAUAUUACCAGAAAAUUCAGUGACAGGGAAAAGUUUGCAUAAACUUAAUGCAUGGUUUGAAUAACAUCAUUAGUAAGAUACUGAAAGCAUGAGGCAACAAAAGCAAUUAUGCAUAUUCUGCAAAACUGUAGUUUUUCUUUAAAGAACUGACAGACAAUAACCAAAAAGCUGAUCUUGUUCAGUCCACGGGAACAGAUCUUCCCACAGACAAGAACUUGCUAUAUAUGCUGCUUCAGAAUAUACAAGUAAAGAAGGAAUCUCAGCUAUAAAAAGGUCUACCAUAGGUAAAUAGCCACUUUAUAGGGGAUCCUUCAUAUAGAAAGAAAGGAGUUUUUGAGAAUUGCUGAGUUUUUAGGCACCUAUCACCAAAAAGGUCAUUGAGUUCUUUUUGCUCUACAGCCAGUCUGAUGUGUGGAUUUAAUCAUGUCUGGAGCCAACAGUUAGCCUGAAAUUACUUUAAGGAAUGUACAUUUUUUCAUCUUGAGUUGCUCUGGUUCAAGAACAUCUGGCUCCUUCAGGAUUUGCAUCUUAUCUCCUGCCUCCGCUCCACUGCUGCAGUAUCAGCUUCUGUUGCUGCCUCCACCACAAUGUUCUGUUUCCUUUCAAGUCUUCUGCAUCUUCCAUCCUCUGCCAAGCAUUUGUUGAAUUUGACCACAGGGCAGCCGGACUGGAGGGGCCUGUGGAGACCGGUGGUCCCAGCUUGUGUUAAAUGUCAGCCUAUAGAUAAGGUUCUCUGGGUCUUCAUCUAGCCAAGGCUGCUGCCUCCUUUCCCUUAGGCCCUUGUGCAAUACCCUCCACUCCCCCUCACGUCCCUUUUGGUCCCUCAAAAACUUGCACCAGUAUUUACCACCCACCCUGCCAUGGACUACAGCCAGUCAGUCUUGUGGCCGGUGAGCCCAAUGCUAGCCAGGCCAACAGCUCACUCAGGAUGGAAAAUGGAAGGGAAAUAUGGCACUACUCUCUGUCAGCACUGAUGACGUUUUCCUUCUCCCUACACUUGCUGUUUUACGUGCAAUGUGUGUGAAACCUCACUGUCUCUGGGAACUAUACCUCUGUCAGAUGUGGCUGAACCUGGCUCAAAAGCAGCCAGGACUACACUGGCAGACAGGCGGUGUGAUCGCAGCAGCUAUACACUUAUUCCCUAAGGCUCUUGUCUGCUGCUUUGAGUGCAUCACUGUAACGUGCUGAGGUGCUCGGGUGUGCUGUGCUGGUGUGAGGGCAAAAGCAAGCCUGGAGUAUUGGCCUAUGGUCCCCUUCUAGCUAUCCAGUUCCUGGGGGGUUUAAAUGACAAAACACUGUCUCUUUCUGCAGACAGAGCCAAACCUGAACAUGAGGAUGGGAAGCUUUCCAGCACAGGCUGUCUGCAGUCUGUGCUCUGCACAGUGGGAGGAGAGCUCUCUCUUCGUGUCUCGAUGCUAACAAAAUAAACGUAAUUGUU
ensembl:lncRNA